CUACGGGCCGCUCCAGUGAGGAAUAUUGCACAAUGGGGGGAACCCUGAUGCAGCAACGCCGCGUGGAGGAUGACGCAUUUCGGUGUGUAAACUCCUUUUAUAUGUCAAGAAAAUGACGGUAGCAUAUGAAUAAGCACCGGCUAACUCCGUGCCAGCAGCCGCGGUAAUGACGGAGGGUGCAAGCGUUACUCGGAAUCACUGGGCGUAAAGGACGCGUAGGCGGGUUGGAAAGUCAGGUGUGAAAUCCUACAGCUUAACUGUAGAACUGCACUUGAAACUUCUAAUCUAGAGUAUGGGAGGGGGAGAUGGAAUUAGUGGUGUAGGGGUAAAAUCCGUAGAUAUCACUAGGAAUACCUAAAGCGAAGGCGAUCUCCUGGAACAUUACCGACGCUAAGGCGUGAAAGCGUGGGGAGCAAACAGGAUUAGAUACCCCGGUAGUC
rnacentral:rRNA from 1 species